CCUAGAAUGGCAAGGGACACGGGGAAAGGGAAGCAAAACUAGCGUUUGUUGAGGAUCAGUGAUGUGCAAGGCAUGGCCCACAUUCCUUUUAUGCAGAACUUGAUACCAAGAAGAAAGAAGGCAGAGGCAUUUUCAAAGUCAUAACUGUCUAAAGAAAUUGGGAAGACAGUGCCUGGUACCUAGGAAAUAUUGAGUAACUUAUAGCAACUGUGGUGAUGGUGGCGAUAUACAGAUGUCUGGGUAAGAUUUUGCAUUUCUUUUGCGAAAAAACGAGUGAAUCACAGUUGGAUAUCUCUUCUGCAACUGAUAGUGACCUCCGUUUUCCGAAGACAUUAAAAAAAGCUCUGCAGAUUGAGGCCCCAAGAGAUGGAAGAGUUCAUAAGAUGGAAGUCACCAGAGUCUUAAAAUCAUCAUGUGGAGGCAAGCAACAUGCGAGGAAUACCCAGGUUAGACUAUUGUCCAACUGAGAAAUAAACUUUAUAUGACCAUAGUCACUGAAAUUUUGAAGUUUAUUAUAGCAGCUAGUGCUGUCUAACUAAUGCAAAAUUGAAUAUGUAUUUCAAUGCAUUAAUAUCAUGUGAAAGGUAAAAACCACACCCUAAAUAAAUUUUUUAAGUUAUGAAAAGUUAAUCACCCUUAAUAAGACUAGUUUAUUUUCUUAUUUUAAAAAUAAAAUAAAAAAAUUACAGACACUGCAUAAACUGAAUACAAACGGUUUUCAUAGAUGAUUAUAAUCAACUUUUUUACUAGCUGAUAGAAUAUAUAAAUAUUCUCUCUAGUUACACAGGUAUUAUCUCACUUUUCAAAGAAAUGUAUCUUGGCUAUUGUAAAUAGUGCUGCUGUGAAUGUUGGAGUGUAUGCACCUUUUUAAAUUAUGGUUUUCUCUGAGUAUGUGUCCAGCAGCGGGAUUGCGGGUCAUAUGAUAGUUCUAUUUUUAGUUUUUUAAGGAACCUCCAUACUGUUUUCUGCUGUGGCUGUAUCCAUUUACACUCCCACCAAGGGUGCACAAGGGUUCCCUUUACUUCAUAUCCACCCCAGCAUUUAUUGUUUGUAGAUUUUUUGAUGAUGGUCCUUCUCUGGUGUGAGGUGAUAUCUCACUGUAGUUUUGAUUUGCAGUUCUCUAAUGAUUAGUGGUAUUGAGCAUCUUUUCAUAUGUUUGUUGGCCAUCUUUACGUCUUUGGAAAAAUAUCUAUUUAGUUCUGCCCUUUUUUGAUUGGGUUGUAAUUUUUUGUAUUGAGCUACAUCAGCUGCUUGUAUAUUUUGCAGAUUAACCCUCUAUCAUCUGCAAAUAGUUUCUCUCAUUCUGAGGUAUGUC
rnacentral:lncRNA from 1 species